rnacentral:tRNA from 1 species
UCCUUCAUAGCUUAGUUGGUAAAGAAUCUGCCUGCAAUGCAGGAGACCUGGGUUCAAUUCCUGGGUCAGGAA